UUAUAAGACUCCUAUUAAGCAUAAAAAAAUAAUAGCAUACCAUUUAAAAAUAUUAUUAAGAUGUCACACUAUUUUGGGACACUCUGUGUAAUCAAAAAUAUUUUCCUGAAAUGCGUCCAACAAUAUAAAUAACAUCUACGAAAUAUCAAAAGUACAACUUUACUAAUAACUGAGCUACGGAAGACUGGAGUAGUCCAGGGUGAGUCAAUAGUGACUUACAGUCCGGGACAUUUCUAUUUGGACAUAAAAAAUUUGAAUUUUCUGACAUUUAUACGUAUAUUCAGCGUCUAUGUGAACAAAAAAUGUUCUCUCUCUCAUUCUAUGGUCCUUGAGCUUUAAUAACAGGGACAUUUUUUAAAUUGGUAGCAUUAGAAAAUGACAGUAAACAGCUGACUGAUGUAAACAAUAACACAAUAACAAAGGAAAUGUUAUAAUUUUAAUCUAUAUAACCAGUGGCUGCUUUAAAAGUGUGUACUAACGGGAUAAUAAAAUAUUUACGCAAGUAUUUUUGAAGGUAGAAACAUUACUUGUCAUAUAACAAUUAUAGAUUAUAUGAUGAGACGGGAAUGGCACAACACAGAAUUGCAGUCAGUGAUUGUGCUGGAGAAAGCUGCUGUGACGUACUGACAGUACUGACUGUCGCUGGUUGUAUGAUUUGCGCAAUUUGUGAUAUAUUUUGUGUGAAAAACUGGAAAACAAAGUGCAUAACCGCAUAACCUCACUUAUCGCAGUUUUGCACAUUUUGAUGAUGAGAAUUGCGGUUCAAGUAAUUAUGAGUUAUAGAUGGAGCUCACUGUUUACUUCAAACUGAAGCCUUUUGGGUCCACUUUUUUCGUUGUUAUUUCCUGGUAGCGACUCUUGUUUCAAGCAGAAUGGGUGUAAAGUUAAAAAUAAUCCCAUAAAAUUGUUAAUAUAACUCCGUUGCACUGGCAUGGGGUAUUUGAAAACUUACGUUUAACAAAUACGUCACAAAGUCUCAGCCAUCGUCGAAAAACAUCAUAAGGGCUUUAUAACAAGAAGCGCUUUCUGAUUUUACUGUGGACGUGUGGAAGAAUAGUGUGAAAUAUUGCGAAAAACCAACUUUUACUCUUGUUUACAUUUUUGUACGUCUCUAUCUGAGAGUAGUCGUCUUGUAUAAAAAAUAUAGCCUACUAAUAAAGGAAAUUAAAGUGUUUUUA